CCCCUCCUCCUUCCCUUCAGCCUCCACCUCCCCCUCUUCCUCCGCCCCCUCCUCCUCCUCGUAGGAGGCCUCGUCCCCCUACCUGCCGGCCCCUCCCCCACCAAAAGAACAACCUAAUUGUGCUUCUCGAUGUUCUAUGGAGUGUGUUGGUCGUUAUUAUAAGUACGACGACUACUGCAAUAAAAACUGUAUAAAACGACGCAGGCCGAGGCUUUCCCCACCAUAGUACUCAAUUAAUUCCACCAGUUUUUGCCGAUCAGCAAAAGCAGAUAAAAUAUAUCGAAGGUGAUCAGAGUGCAUGCUAGCUACAACAACUGCAAGAUCAAGAACUAAUAUUGGCUUGUAUUUGCAAUAAAAUAAAGAACAAUGUUAAGAUGCAUCUAAUAUAUAUAUAUAUAUAUAUA